rnacentral:rRNA from 1 species
UACAGAGGUCUCGAGCGUUAGGCGGAAUCACUGGGCUUAAAGCGUGUGUAGGCGGAUCGUUAAGUACCUUGUGAAAUCCCACGGCUUAACCGUGGAACUGCUUGGUAUACUGGCGGUCUUGAGCCAGCUAGGGGCUACCGGAACAAAUGGUGGAGCGGUGAAAUGCGUAGAUAUCAUUUGGAACGCCAAUGGUGAAAACAGGUAGCUGGGGCUGUGCUGACGCUGGAGAACACGAAAGCCCAGGGGAGCAAACGGG